GGCUAACGUUUAAACACCUCAAAUUCUCCGGUCAAUUUACCACCAACAACCACCACGUCGGAAGUCGCUUCCAGCGACGGUGGAACACCAAAAAAUCGAUACGACCCAUACAACCGUGGCAAUGAGCUAAAUACCAAUCUAGGUCAAUUUCACAAGGAAAUCACUCAAGGAUGCAAAUCGAUGAGAUUGAGCACAAGAACCCUAACCAAUCCAUGUUAAAUUAAACACUAAUGGACAUCUGAACCUAGCAAUAGUCAUGGGGGAAUGAACCAUAGCAACAUGAAGAACAAGAUUGCAUGAAGAAAAUGGUGAUAAGAGAAGUGAAGAUCCUACAAACGGGGACAUGAUUUUCCCCGGUAAUUGUUGCGAUUGAAGUUGGUGAAUGAUGGCACGAGAAACCUAGGUCAAAGCUGCGAAUUCCUUAGGUUAUGGCUUGUUCUUGGCAAGGUUUGUCUGCUGCAAUGACUUGCUUAUAGAAUGAUUUGUAUUGCCAAUGUUGUGUGGCAGAUUGCUUGCUGCAGAAUUAUAUUGGCAUGAGGAAUGCGGAUAUGGGCCACAAUUUUCCUUGAAAAAAAAUCGUGCAUCUAUUGGAAUGUUUGAUGUGGCUUUGGUUUGCUACAGUAGGUCAUGUUGCACUGGGUUUGCAAUGUUUGGCAUGUCUGUUUGUAUUGGCUUGUAUUGUUCUUCCUUGGAUUGUUAUGUUGAGCAGGAUGAGUGGUCUUUUAUUGUUGCAGAUGUAUUAUUGUUGCAGAUGUAUUAUUGUAUGAUGGAAUUCCAUUUGAAUGUAUUUGCUGCAGGUUUCACUUGGCAUGGUCUUGAUGUAGGCGUGGUGGGCAGAAUUGCAAGUCAUCUCCAAGGCAAGAAAGGCAAGUUCAAGCUAUAAUGACCAACUUGGCAAAAGCUUGAUUAAUGGAGUAAAUGGUGGCCAUGGAUGAUCAUGAGAUGCUACAAUGAUGAAGAUGUGAUUAAUGUUAAGAUCC